rnacentral:rRNA from 1 species
UACAGGGGGUGCAAACGUUGCUCGGAAUCAUUGGGCGUAAAGCGCACGUAGGCGGUUCGUUAUGCCGGAUGUGAAAUCCCUCGGCUUAACCAAGGAAGUGCAUCCGAAACUGCAGAGCUUGAGUACUUAAGAGGAUCGCGGAAUUCCCGGUGUAGAGGUGAAAUUCGUAGAUAUCGGGAGGAACACCAGUGGCGAAGGCGGCGAUCUGGGAAGAUACUGACGCUGAGGUGCGAAAGCGUGGGGAGCAAACAGG